GAUGAACGCUGGCGGCGUGCCUAAUACAUGCAAGUCGAGCGAACAGACGAGGAACUUGCUCCUCUGACGUUAGCGGCGGACGGGUGAGUAACACGUGGAUAACCUACCUAUAAGACUGGGAUAACUUCAGGAAACCGGAGCUAAUACCGGAUAAUAUAUUGAACCGCAUGGUUCAGUAGUGAAAUACGGUUUUGCUGUCACUUAUAGAUGGAUCCGCGUCGCAUUAGCUAGUUGGUAAGGUAACGGCUUACCAAGGCAACGAUGCGUAGCCGGUCUGAGAGGAUGAUCCGCCACACUGGGACUGAGACACGGCCCAGACUCCUACGGGAGGCAGCAGUGGGGAAUCUUGGACAAUGGGCGAAAGCCUGAUGGAGCAACGCCGCGUGUAUGAUGAAGGUCUUAGGGUUGUAAAGUACUUUUGUUAGGGAAGAAAAGAUGGUUAUUAAUAAAAACAAGUGUUGACGGUACCUAAAGAAAAAGCACCGGCUAACUACGUG
rnacentral:rRNA from 1 species